rnacentral:rRNA from 1 species
UUGGGAAUAUUGGACAAUGGGGGCAACCCUGAUCCAGCAAUGCCGCGUGAGUGAUGAAGGCUUUCGGGUCGUAAAGCUCUUUUAGUGGGGACGAAGGGCAACUUGACGGUACCCACAGAAAAAGCACCGGCUAACUACGUGCCAGCAGCCGCGGUAAUACGUAGGGUGCAAGCGUUGUUCGGAAUCAUUGGGCGUAAAGCGCGUGUAGGCGGUUUGCUAAGUCUGGUGUGAAAGCCCGAGGCUUAACUUCGGAAGUGCACUGGAUACUGGCAAGCUAGAGGACGAGAGAGGGAAGCGGAAUUCCUGGUGUAGGGGUGAAAUCCGUAGAUAUCAGGAGGAACAUCGGUGGCGAAGGCGGCUUCCUGGCUCGUAACUGACGCUCAGACGCGAAAGCGUGGGUAGCAAACAGG